AAGCAUGAAUAUGUUAGGUGUGCUCAUAUAAACUUUCUUCAUCACAAGUUUAUAUGAGCACACCUAACAUAUUCAUGCUU